rnacentral:rRNA from 1 species
AAAAGAGAAGGUCAAAAAGCUUCUUCAAGAAGCUUUCUUGAUGGAGGGGAGCGGCAGACGGGUGAGUAACACGUGGGAAUCUACCCAUCCCUGCGGAACAACUCCGGGAAACUGGAGCUAAUACCGCAUACGCCCUACGGGGGAAAGAUUUAUCGGGGAUGGAUGGGCCCGCGUUGGAUUAGCUAGUUGGUGGGGUAAAGGCCUACCAAGGCGACUAUCAAUAGCUGGUCUGAGAGGAUGAUCAGCCACAUUGGGACUGAGACACGGCCCAAACUCCUACGGGAGGCAGCAGUGGGGAAUAUUGGACAAUGGGCGCAAGCCUGAUCCAGCCAUGCCGCGUGAGUGAUGAAGGCCUUAGGGUUGUAAAGCUCUUUCACCGAUGAAGAUAAUGACGGUAGUCGGAGAAGAAGCCCCGGCUAACUUCGUGCCAGCCGCCGCAGUAACAC